rnacentral:rRNA from 1 species
CGUCAAGUCAUCAUGGCCCUUAUGACCAGGGCUACACACGUGCUACAAUGGCCAGUACAAAGGGUCGCCAACCCGCGAGGGGGAGCCAAUCCCAUAAAGCUGGUCGUAGUCCGGAUCGCAGUCUGCAACUCGACUCCAUGAAGCCGGAGUUGCUAGUAAUCCCGGAUCAGCACGCCGGGGUGAAUACGUUCCCGGGCCUU